UACGGAGGGAGCUAGCGUUGUUCGGAAUUACUGGGCGUAAAGCGCACGUAGGCGGCUUUGUAAGUUAGAGGUGAAAGCCCGGGGCUCAACUCCGGAACUGCCUUUAAGACUGCAUCGCUUGAAUCCAGGAGAGGUAAGUGGAAUUCCGAGUGUAGAGGUGAAAUUCGUAGAUAUUCGGAAGAACACCAGUGGCGAAGGCGGCUCACUGGACUGGUAUUGACGCUGAGGUGGCGAAAGCGUGGGG
rnacentral:rRNA from 1 species